AAAAAAAGUCGCCACUCGCGGCACUGUUGGAGACGUGGUGUUUUCCAACAGUUUCAACGCAGUUCAGGCGAGUUGAAGGGAGCACGGUGACUGUUUCUGCAAGACAUAGCAAAAGAACAGCUCAGGGGUUUUUUUUCUCAACCUUGCUCGCCUUCGUUUCAGUUCAACAACGAGGCUGAACGAGGAGUCACAUGUCUUGGUUCACAGUGAGGUCGAAGCGGGGUUGGCAUGUGGAUGGCAGUGGAUGUGGAAUGGACCACCUGUUCCUGGGAUCGGCAGCUUUUGUUGCAGAGGUCAGUCCAGGGAGGAGACUUUCACAAAGCUGUCCUUCCCAGCCAGUUCUACUUCCAGUGGCUCUACUGAGGACUACAAUAUAAUGUGUAAAUGUUACAGAGAAACCCUGUGAGCUACUCCUCUAAUUAAGUUAAAUAACCAGGUACCAAUUUUUACUUUACUACUUUUUUGAGGAAAAUAUUGUUUCUUUUUCUCCACUAUAUUUAUGCGAGAGGCCCUUUUCUCUUUUCAGGUUCAGCUUUACAUACAAAUCAAGCAACAUUACUGUAGUGCCAAUCACUAGUUAAACUGGAGCAGGUCUAAACCAUUCUCUUUAAAGCAGCAUUGUGUAGUUUGGUGGAAACAUUUUUAUUACAAGAGAAAUCUUCAUUGUCUGAUUUUUACUAUGCCCAAACAUUCAGGUCUGAACAAACUGAAUAAACAAACCGAGCUUAAAGGACAACACUAUUUAAUUACUGUCUUACUCUGUGUACAUGUGGCCUUGCCAUCUUUCUAGCUCCAAACAGUGUUCUGAGGACCUUGUUUUCUUUUGAGAACAUCUUGUUUAUUCAGCAAUGGAAAAAAAUAAAUAUUUCUAAGUUUGUAUAAUUACCUCAAUGA